rnacentral:rRNA from 1 species
GGCUCAGGACGAACGCUGGCGGCGUGCCUAAUACAUGCAAGUAGAACGCUGAAGAGAGGAGCUUGCUCUUCUUGGAUGAGUUGCGAACGGGUGAGUAACGCGUAGGUAACCUGCCUUGUAGCGGGGGAUAACUAUUGGAAACGAUAGCUAAUACCGCAUAACAAUGGAUGACUCAUGUCAUUUAUUUGAAAGGGGCAAAUGCUCCACUACAAGAUGGACCUGCGUUGUAUUAGCUAGUAGGUGAGGUAACGGCUCACCUAGGCGACGAUACAUAGCCGACCUGAGAGGGUGAUCGGCCACACUGGGACUGAGACACGGCCCAGACUCCUACGGGAGGCAGCAGUAGGGAAUCUUCGGCAAUGGGGGCAACCCUGACCGAGCAACGCCGCGUGAGUGAAGAAGGUUUUCGGAUCGUAAAGUUCUGUUGUAAGUCAAGAACGAGUGUGAGAGUGGAAAGUUCACACUGUGACGGUAGCUUACCAGAAAGGGACGGCUAACUACGUGCCAGCAGCCGCGGUAAUACGUAGGUCCCGAGCGUUGUCCGGAUUUAUUGGGCGUAAAGCGAGCGCAGGCGGUUUGAUAAGUCUGAAGUUAAAGGCUGUGGCUCAACCAUAGUUCGCUUUGGAAACUGUCAAACUUGAGUGCAGAAGGGGAGAGUGGAAUUCCAUGUGUAGCGGUGAAAUGCGUAGAUAUAUGGAGGAACACCGGUGGCGAAAGCGGCUCUCUGGUCUGUAACUGACGCUGAGGCUCGAAAGCGUGGGGAGCGAACAGGAUUAGAUACCCUGGUAGUCCACGCCGUAAACGAUGAGUGCUAGGUGUUGGAUCCUUUCCGGGAUUCAGUGCCGCAGCUAACGCAUUAAGCACUCCGCCUGGGGAGUA